rfam:Parcubacteria (Magasanikbacteria) bacterium GW2011_GWA2_56_11 TY92_C0003, whole genome shotgun sequence.
GGAGGAGUACCGAAGCGGUCAUAACGGGACGGUCUCGAAAACCGUUUGCCCUCAAAAGGGGCACGAGGGUUCGAAUCCCUCCUCCUCCG